GCGAACGUAGUCAAGUGGUUUAAGACCCCGGCCUGCAAAGCCGUGUGACCUGUAAGGGCGUGAGUUCGAAUCUCACCGUUCGCUCCA
rnacentral:tRNA from 1 species